rnacentral:misc_RNA from 1 species
GCACAUGAAUUCAACAAAUACACACAAUACAUUGUCACAUAGGUGCUCCUCUGCCAAUCAUAUCCAAUCAGCUUGCUGACAAGGAAAUAAAAAUUUGUGUUCUUGUGUUUUUCUCACUACCCUUUUAGCUUAAGUUAUUAGGAUUCAACUCAAUCAUUUAGGUGGUUAACUCACCCAUUAUGUGACAUUUUGAAAACUUAUUAGAAUCUCAGAAUCAGAUAUCAUA